AUUUCUUGGGCUGCUGUUGAAGUAGAAAAUAAGGACUCCUGGUUCUGGUUUAUGGCAUUGUUAAAUAAAGACUUGGAGAUUGCAAAUCAAGGAGAAGGAUGGGUGUUCAUAUCAGAUCAGUAGAAAGGUCUUAUCAAUGCUAUCUCCAAGGUUGUACCAAAUGCUGAACAUAGAAACUGUGCUAGGCACAUUUAUGCUGACUGGAAGAAAAAGCAUAGGGAUCAAUCUUACCGGAAGAGAUUUUGGGCUUGUGCAAAAUCCUCAAACAGAGUACAAUUCAACUCAAACUGA
rnacentral:rRNA from 1 species